rnacentral:rRNA from 1 species
CAGCCGCCGCGGGAAUACGGAGGGAGCUAGCGUUGUUCGGAAUUACUGGGCGUAAAGCGUGCGUAGGCGGUGAGUUAAGUCUGCUGUGAAAUCCCCGGGCUUAACCUGGGAAUGGCAGUGGAUACUGGCUCGCUAGAGUGUGUCAGAGGAUGGUGGAAUUCCCGGUGUAGCGGUGAAAUGCGUAGAGAUCGGGAGGAACAUCAGUGGCGAAGGCGGCCAUCUGGGACAACACUGACGCUGAGGCACGAAAGCGUGGGGAGCAAACAGGAUUAGAUACCCCCGUAGUCCCUGUCUCUUAUAC